AUACGAAGGUCCCGAGCGUUAUUCGGAAUCACUGGGCGUAAAGAGUAUGUAGGCGGUUUGGUAAGUCUGGUGUGAAAUCCCGGAGCUCAACUUCGGAACUGCAUCCGAUACUGCCAGACUAGAGUAAUGGAGAGGCAGGUGGAAUUCUCGGUGUAGCAGUGAAAUGCGUGGAUAUCGAGAGGAAGACCAAUGGCGAAGGCAGCCUGCUGGACAUUUACUGACGCUGAGAUACGAAGGCUAGGGGAGCGAAAGGGAUUAGAAACCCCAGUAGUCC
rnacentral:rRNA from 1 species